CGCAAGCCUGAUGCAGCCAUGCCGCGUGUAUGGAAGAAGGCCUUCGGGUUGUAAAGGUACUUUCAGCAGUGAGGAAGGUGGGUAUGUUAAUAGCAUAUUCAUUUGACGUUAGCUGCAGAAGAAGCACCGGCUAACUCCGUGCCAGCAGCCGCGGUAAUACGGAGGGUGCGAGCGUUAAUCGGAAUUACUGGGCGUAAAGCGCAUGCAGGUGGUUUGUUAAGUCAGAUGUGAAAGCCCGGGGCUCAACCUCGGAAUUGCAUUUGAAACUGGCAAACUAGAGUACUGUAGAGGGGGUAGAAUUUCAGGUGUAGCGGUGAAAUGCGUAGAGAUCUGAAGGAAUACCGGUGGCGAAGGCGGCCCCCUGGACAGAUACUGACACUCAGAUCGCGAAAGCGUGGGGAGCAAACAGGAUUAGAUACCCUGGUAG
rnacentral:rRNA from 1 species